rnacentral:lncRNA from 1 species
GGGCGAUGGGGUAUGUACCCGCAGACCUAUUAGAUGGCAUGAGGAAUGCUAAGUGCCGGAACAACAUGAGCACUCAUGGACCUUUGACUCUAGGGAUGUUGUUGCCAAGUAUCUUCGAGGACUACAGUUGGAGCCAUGGAACUUUUUUAACAAGUAUGUGAGGCUUUCGGAUCGUAGGUAGCAAAUUCCUCUCGGGGCUCCACACAUGGUGCCCAUGUUGAAAACCAGACCUAAAAGAGCCAG